GUAGAACUUCGGGAUAAUUUGGAAUCUCUAUCUUCUCAGAAAUUAAAACGAUCAAAACUUUUAAUUUUCUAACCCUGUAUACGAGCAUUACCAUAAAAAUUGGAAAUUGGUCAAACAAUAAAUAAUCCACAAUGCUUUUCAAUAUAAAAUUGGUAGCGGUAAUGUCUGUCGUCUAAAACUUGCAAGAAGGAAAAGUUGGUAAACACCCACACACUUCGACAAAAAGAAUAUAUUUGAUAUUCGACAAAAG
rnacentral:lncRNA from 1 species